rnacentral:rRNA from 1 species
UACGUAGGGGGCAAGCGUUGUCCGGAUUUAUUGGGCGUAAAGAGCGUGUAGGCGGCCUGGUAGGUCAGCUGUGAAAACUCGAGGCUCAACCUCGAGACGCCGGUUGAAACCAUCAGGCUAGAGUCCGGAAGAGGAGAGUGGAAUUCCCGGUGUAGCGGUGAAAUGCGCAGAUAUCGGGAAGAACACCAAUUGCGAAGGCAGCUCGCUGGGACGUUACUGACGCUGAGGCGCGAAAGCGUGGGGAGCGAACAGG